GCAGCCGCGCCCCCAGCCGUAUUUCCGCUGGCGCAGAGCACCAGAGAGAGAGUCUUGUGGCUGCGGUUUGCAGACUGCUUUUCGCCCCCCUCCGCGAGGUUGCCCCUGUACUCGCCGCCAUCCAUCCUGACGCCCGGGAUGAGUCACUGAGGGGCAGCGCCCGAGGCGUGGUCUUACCAAGAACCCCCAGUGGCCUCCCAAGGCCGGUGUUGUGUACCUCCUUCCUGACAAAAGGGGAAACUGAGGCCCCGAGGGGAGUGGGAAGAGCCGGCCGGACGUCAGGCCCAGCCCCUGGUGCAGUGCUGCGUCCUUUCCGCCGGGGUGGGCCCCUCAGGAUUCGCGUGUCCUCGGGAAAGAGACUGGCGGGCCUCGUGGGCUGUGCGGCUCUCCUGGAGACAGAUGACAGCUCUCCCUUGGAUGACUUUGCUGGUUCCGCACCAGCCAGAGCCCCCGUUUUUCCUGCAGCACCCUGAUCUGCACUCCCUGAGGGGCUCCCACUGUCCGCGCGGUGAGGAUGUCCCUGGAUAGUCCACUGUGUGCAGAGGCAUGGGAGUUGUCAUGUCGGGAACAUGCUAGACCUUAGUGUCCUUGAGGGAUGCCGCCCUGGGUCUGGAGACUGUUGGAGGAAACCCCAGGAGGUGCAGGCACUGAGCCUCUCGAGACAAUGACCUGGGGUCCCAGCUUCCCUGGAGGGGUCUCCUCAUGAUUGUUUGAGGGUUGAUCACAGACCAAAAGUGAUGAGUGAUGUCACUCCAUGACGCAUGGCUGGACCUUCUUGCCCCUAUUGUCUCAGCACAACGCUAAUCGACUUUUCCCUCAGCGUGGGUGGAGGGUGGGCAGAGGAAAAGCCCUGUGGCUCUGGGGACUUGGGAUCCAGAGGUGAAGACCUUUCAGCUGGCUCUGCCCUGCCAGUGCCACAGAGUGCCAUGGCCCAGGAAGACUGGUUUUCUUCCAUCUAGGCCAGGCCAUCCAGUGUCCUCCUGCCUGUUCCUGGUGUGACUUCUGAAAACCAAGAAUUUGUUCCUGUUGACUUUUUCUGUGCUGUGGACCAUUGUCCUCUCACGCACUCAAUAAAUCUUGAAACAUGC